rnacentral:lncRNA from 1 species
CAGCAUUACGUCAUCCCGGAGUGUUUGAAAUAUUUCCGUCCUCGCAACUUAUAAUUUAACCACUUUGCCUUGGCAGGGAGCAGCCUUGCAUUCUUCCUUAUCUGGUGAUUUCGGCGUGAGCACAAAGCUGACGGUUCGAUUGCUACUGCACGAAGAUUCUGCAGCAUUUACCAGACUAGUCUACAUUCAUGAAUACCUGAAUUAUAAUUUAAUACGUGAUGUUACCAAUGCGAUUGUCUAAUGUUUCAUUGUGGCUACUAUCAGUGGCAGGAACAACUGAUCUGAACAUGUGAUACUUUUACUACUAUAAUUUUGUUGUGUCAAAUUAUUUUUACUAUGAGAGAGUAAAUGCAGUAAAGUUCACUGAACCAGACUGUGGAAGGGAAAUUAAAUUUUUUUUAACAUGUACUAUAACUAUCAACAUUAUUAAAUGCAACAUUAAUUAAAUAAGCCAAAUUUGCUUUUUAAAGUUGUUUUGCAUGCAGAAGGUUCUCUUGUAACUACAAGAGAUAUUUUAGCUGAUUAUGAUUUCUAACAUAUACUUCUACACUAGAUGGUGACCAAUUCACUACUUUAAACUUUUAAGAAAGCUUCACCAGCAAACAGUAAUAAAAUGCCACACAAAGUUGAGGGAAUCCCAAACAAGUUGUUUAUUAAAUGGGUAAACUGUUGCACUAUACAUUCCUACACAAUUAUCAUAAUGUCACCAAACACUGAUUUACAAGGCUGUAUGGACAGCAGGCAUUUUUAAUGAAGGCAAAGAGUUGAACAAGACUAUAUUAUACAGUAAUUGUACUGGAGUUUAACAAUAUGCAUAUGAUCUGGUAUAAUUUAUACUGUCAGAAGACAGUAAGGUAUAAAAAAAAAUUGAGAAAAGUAUACCUAGAACAUUACAUAAUAGUUAAAGAUGGCAGGUUGUGUAUUAACAGAGGAACUACCUAUUAACAAAUUCAUAUUGUUACGAGGCAUGGAAGCUGGCAUGAAUUUUAGGCCUAUAACAGGAUAGGAAAAAGCCUAAAAUUAGCAGCCUUAACCUGCCCCAAGGUAAACUGCACAUAACUUGAGAUACAUUUCUGAAAACCUCUGUAGUGGAGAAGUUCAGCUCAUACGAUUCAUAUACAUAUGCAAAGCUGGCUGUUGUCAAACUCUGAAUCAUUCAAACGGAGACCAACAUGACGGCAGAAAAUGCUUCAACGUACAUUGCAAGAAGCAAACAUCUUUAUACAAGUUCACACACCAUGGAGAAUGACUAACAAUUUAUAUACCUUGUGUUUAAGUUCCUUUAACAGGAACAGACACAAGAAGACAAAUUAAUGAAGUAUUUUCUGUAUACAAAAUAAUCUCCUUGACAUCACAGAUUAGUUAAGUAUAAAUGACAUUUAAACAUAGAUGUACAAAGAGUAUACCAUACUUCAUACCUCCACAAUUUGCUUUUUUUUUCUACUUGCAUGUAAAUGUGGAAAAUUUUUUUUACACAGUGCUUUUAGCAAAUCAUUAAACUAUUUUCUUAAAACUCAAUUUUACUCAACAGUUAAAUAGCAACAAUAUUGUUUUUAACACGAGUGAGAUUAUUCGCUUAUGCAAAUAAUUUUUUUUAAAUGUGCUGUCUCCUUUCAUGUAGAAUUAAAAAAAAA